UGCAAUCUAAUGCUUUGCUCUGCUAUUUUAAUUUUGUGUAACAUGCAUACUCUCAUGGAUCUGUACGCAUGUGUUUGCAAGAACUUGUACGCAUGAGUUUGUAAGAAGUUGAAUGCUGGUAUGAUGCUUUAUUUUCUACAAAGUUGGGCUAUAUGCUCACGGCUGCUUCCUGAUAAUUGUGCAUGUAACUUGGUUUCUUCACUUCAUUUAAAUGAUUAGUAUGUUUUGGGCUUUGACCUAUGCAUAUAACAACACUACCAUGCCAGUUUGUACAUCUUCUGUUUUUGGUUCUUUGGACUCAAGAGUAACUCAGAAGUUUGAACAAAUGUACUAUGAUAAUAUUGCUCAAACAUAUGGUGCUUUUGCAGGGUCAAAUGGCGGGAAGUAUCAAGUCAAAGAUAUUAUGGCUUUUGUACAUCUUCUAUUUUCUUUAAAUGGAAGUUGGUGUUGGUUUGGUGAUCGAAGACUUGGGCUCUUCCAUAGUGUUUUGUAGAGUGAUCGAACACUUAAGUCUCUUAUGAACUAGGACCAUAAUUUGUAACAUGCCACAACUUGUAUGUUGAGUUGAGUAUUUGUUUCAAUGGUUGUAACAAGGAAAACUGAUCUUCUAUAUAUGUUGAAUAAAUGCUUUGGUCAAUGGCAUUUUGUGAUGAAUAGAAGAGUGUAAUUGUUGGUAUAUCUACUGCAAAGUGAACAUGAAUUGAAUAUUUUGAAUAUAUUUUCAUGUUAAUAUAUGUUGCAUUUGCAUUUGUGCUGAAAUGUAUAGCCCUGGCAGCAAAUGUGUCGGCAAAACUAUUGGAGGUCGCAAAGACUGUUGGCAUAGCAUACUUACAGAGAAACUGUCGGGGUAGCAACGGCCGUUGCACUAUCUGUCGGUAUAGCAC
rnacentral:lncRNA from 1 species